AAUGAAGUGCCUGAAUAAAAGGAUUACUAUGAUAGGGUAAAUAAUGUAAAAUAAAUAUUACCUUCAUUA
rnacentral:tRNA from 1 species